GCUGGGCACAGUGGGCAAGUGGUUCAUGCUUGUAAUCCCAGCAACUUGGGAGGCUGAGGCAGGAGGAUUGCAAGCUGAAGGCAAGCCUCAACAACUUAGUGAGACCCUCAGCAAUUUAGCGAGACCCUGCUUCAA
rnacentral:sRNA from 1 species